GCGGUGGAGCAUGUGGUUUAAUUCGAUGCAACGCGAAGAACCUUACCAGGUCUUGACAUCCAACGAAUCCUUCUGAAAGGAAGGAGUGCCUUCGGGAGCGUUGAGACAGGUGGUGCAUGGUUGUCGUCAGCUCGUGUCGUGAGAUGUUGGGUUAAGUCCCGCAACGAGCGCAACCCUUGCUAUUAGUUGCUAACAGGUUUAAGCUGAGCACUCUAAUGGGACUGCCGGUGACAAGCCGGAGGAAGGUGGGGAUGACGUCAAAUCAUCAUGCCCUUUAUGACCUGGGCCACACACGUGCUACAAUGGAUGGUACAGAGAGCAGCGAGGCAGCGAUGUGGAGCGAAUCUCAAAAAGCCAUUCUCAGUUCGGAUUGGAGUCUGCAACUCGACUCCAUGAAGUCGGAAUCGCUAGUAAUCGCGAAUCAGCAUGUCGCGGUGAAUGCGUUCCCGGGCCUU
rnacentral:rRNA from 1 species